rnacentral:rRNA from 1 species
AGUGAACGCUGGCGGUAGGCCUAACACAUGCAAGUCGAACGGCAGCACAGUAAGAGCUUGCUCUUACGGGUGGCGAGUGGCGGACGGGUGAGGAAUACAUCGGAAUCUACUUUUUCGUGGGGGAUAACGUAGGGAAACUUACGCUAAUACCGCAUACGACCUACGGGUGAAAGCAGGGGAUCUUCGGACCUUGCGCGAUUGAAUGAGCCGAUGUCGGAUUAGCUAGUUGGCGGGGUAAAGGCCCACCAAGGCGACGAUCGGUAGCUGGUCUGAGAGGAUGAUCAGCCACACUGGAACUGAGACACGGUCCAGACUCCUACGGGAGGCAGCAGUGGGGAAUAUUGGACGAUGGGCGCAAGCCUGAUCCAGCCAUACCGCGUGGGUGAAGAAGGCCUUCGGGUUGUAAAGCCCUUUUGUUGGGAAAGAAAAGCAGCAGGUUAAUACCCCGCUGUUCUGACGGUACCCAAAGAAUAAGCACCGGCUAACUUCGUG